GACGUAGGGCGCGAGCGUUGUCCGGAUUUAUUGGGCGUAAAGAGCUCGUAGGCGGCUUGUUGCGUCGACCGUGAAAACCCGCGGCUUAACUGUGGGCUUGCGGUCGAUACGGGCGGGCUGGAGUUCGGUAGGGGAGACUGGAAUUCCUGGUGUAGCGGUGGAAUGCGCAGAUAUCAGGAGGAACACCGGUGGCGAAGGCGGGACUCUGGGCCGAUACUGACGCUGAGGAGCGAAAGCGUGGGGAGCGAACAGG
rnacentral:rRNA from 1 species